UACAGGGGGGGCAAGCGUUGUUCGGAAUUACUGGGCGUAAAGGGUUCGUAGGUGGCCAACUAAGUCAGACGUGAAAUCCCUCAGCUUAACUGGGGAACUGCGUCUGAUACUGGAUGGCUUGAGUGUAGGAGAGGAAUGCGGAAUUCCAGGUGUAGUCGGUGAAAUGCGUAGAUAUCUGGAGGAACACCGGUGGCGAAGGCGGCAUUCUGGACUACAACUGACACUGAGGAACGAAAGCCAGGGGAGCAAACGGG
rnacentral:rRNA from 1 species